rnacentral:lncRNA from 1 species
AAUACUGCUUAGGCUUAGAGUUUGAAAGGCAUCUGAUUUCACUGCCAUGUCUUUGAACAGCAGUGCACAGUGCAGUCUUCUUCGUGGCUGAACAGCCACUCGAUGUCUUUUGAUUGGAGAGUUUAAUCAAACAGAAGGAGUCUUCCAUUGUGGCCACCACAGCUGGGAAUGCUGCCUAGGAAUAGCCAGGCAACCAGCUGCUACUUUGAGCACCCGGCUAAAAUAAGCAGAGACAACUGGAAGGCUUGAUGUGAAAAAGAGCUGUUGAAGUGUACACAAGCAAGCUGACUGCCUUAUGACUAAUACUUGACAGAACCCAGCAAGAGGAUAUGAGAUUGCAGAUGGAUGACCUCAAUCCUGAACAGAAAGGCGUGCAUGAUAAUGGAGAGAAAAAAGCCAAUGGGGAAAAAAAACCCACCACUAUUUUUUUAAUAGCCUAACACACACACAAAAAACUGGUUUUCCUUUUUCUGUAAUGUGUCUGUAGAGCUGGCUAUUCUGAUUAAAGUUGCCCUUGAAAAAGCAAUUAA